CCCGUCUCCACCUGAAAGGGCGCUCUAAUGCGCAUGGCAAAGGGUUCGCUGUAAUGGAUGCCUGAGGGGCAGAGCAAGGAAGGGGAGGAGUCACCGCCUCCAAAUUGAAUUUCUUUUCCCCUCCCUUUUAGCCGCUGGAGAGCUGAAGAUUCUCGCCUCCUCCGAAUUUCCAUCAUCAACUUUCUUGACCAGCUUUCCCUGGUGGUUGGAGGGCAGGUUCGGGAUUCAGAUGGUCCAGUAGUGCUAGGCAAUUGAAGACAAUUUAGGAAAUGGAAGAAGAUGGGUCCUGUCAUUCACUAUUAACUACUGUCAACAUCUUGGAAUAUUUUCUUAGUUUUAUAGUUAAAUUUGUAUAGUAAAUAUUUAACAAUAAUAGAUGAUACAUAGUAUCUUGCAAGUUUAGGAUUUUUCCUGAUAUUUUUCAUCUAACGUGAACUUUUUAUAAAAAUUCUCAAAAGCAUUAUUGAAUAAAUGCAUAAAAGAUAAAUUAUGAUGUAAUUAUUGAACAUUUAAAUUAUUUUCAAUUUUUGCCAUAUUAUAGGUAAUGAUUCAAUGGAAUUCUUGUAUAUAGAUCUUUGCAUGAAUGAUGGUUUGCUUAAGAUUAUAAGAGGUAGGAUUACCACGUUCAAUAUUUACUAUUUUUUUAAAGCUCUCAACGUACGGUGCAAAAUUGCUCUCCAGAGAAUGUGCCUUCUCAACAAAAUGUUGGUUUCCCACAUCGUUGUCACCACUGGGUCACCUCAGCAAAAUUUUUUAAAAACUUAGUUUGCAUGAGAACAACAAAAAUACCCCAAAAAUUCUGGAGUAGGAGCCUUGUGGCUUCCUGGCCUAGUCUCAGAUCAGUGAAGAGAAAGUGGUGGGACAACUGUUUAAGCCUUUUGUUGGAAGAAGUUAGCUCCCUGUAAAAUAUGUUGUAGCCUGCAGCCUUGCUAAA
rnacentral:lncRNA from 1 species